GAGGGUGCUAAGGUAGCGAAAUUCCUUGCCUUUUGAUUGUAGGCCUGCAUGAAUGGUUUAACGAGGGUUUAACUGUCUCUAAAUUUUUUAUUGAAAUUGUACUGAAGGUGAAGAUACCUUCAUUUAAAAGUUAGACAAAAAGUCCCCGUGCAACUUUGAAAAUUAACUUUAUUCAGAAGUAAAAGAUUUUUAGGUGGGGCGCCUAGAAAGUAAGUCUAACCUUUCUGAAUAAUUAGUUCUUUCCGGAUUCGACCCGAUUAUAUUCGAUCAUAGGAGAAGUUACGCCGGGGAUAACAGGCUAAUCCUUUAGUAGAGCUCGUAUUGGCUAAAGGGAUUGGCACCUCGAUGUUGAAUCAGGGAUGAUAGCUUCAAGGCGUAGAGGCUUUGAGAGUAGGUCUGUUCGACCUUUAAUACC
rnacentral:rRNA from 1 species